rnacentral:rRNA from 1 species
UACGUAGGGGGCUAGCGUUGUCCGGAAUCAUUGGGCGUAAAGAGCGUGUAGGCGGCCCGGUAAGUCCGCUGUGAAAGUCGGGGGCUUAACCCUCGGAUGCCGGUGGAUACUGUCGGGCUUGAGUACGGAAGAGGCGAGUGGAAUUCCUGGUGUAGCGGUGAAAUGCGCAGAUAUCAGGAGGAACACCAAUUGCGAAGGCAGCUCGCUGGGACGUUACUGACGCUGAGACGCGAAAGCGUGGGGAGCAAACAGG